GUGUGGCGUGCUGCUUGUAUGCUUGUGGAUGAUGUCAAACAGGAAGGGGAUGAAGAUGGUGAGUUUGGAAUAAGGAGAGAUGAGAUAAAGAUUGAAUGAGAAAAGAGAUGGAAUCAAGAUAAUAAGAAAGAAUCAUUUAGGUUUAGAUCUUUUAGGAGGAUGCCGUAACACUACUCCCUCCCUGAGAUUGAAGACGACCGCGUCGCCUCCUACGAAUCCCCUUCGAUUUCCAUCUGAGAUUGGGGAAAUCAGUAGUGAUUAUAGAAGCGUCUUCCCAGCAAGCAUCGGAUCUAUCUUUCCCCUCACUUUGGACGAGUAACUGGCGCACCGUUUCUCCAUCUCUCAAGAGUUCUAUCCAGAUUGGGGUCAAUUGCAUCUCCAGCCAAAUACGGAACAUGCACUGGUGGUUCCUG